rnacentral:rRNA from 1 species
UACGUAGGAGGCGAGCGUUGUCCGGAGUUACUGGGCGUAAAGGGUGCGCAGGUGGCCGUGCGCGUGGGGAGUGAAAUCGCCUGGCUUAACUGGGCGGGGCUUUCCAGACGGCGCGGCUUGAGCCACAGAGGGGGCGUGGAAUUCCAGGUGUAGCGGUGAAAUGCGUAGAUAUCUGGAAGAACACCAGUGGCGAAGGCGGUCAACUGGCCCAUAACUGACGCUCAGGCACGAAAGCGUGGGUAGCGAACAGG